AUUCGUUUGGCCGAGUGGUCAAGGCGUGAGCCUAAUUCCCCACAGCGAGAGUUCGAGUCUCUCGGCCUAAA
rnacentral:tRNA from 1 species